CUUCUUUCCUGUGGAGUCCUGCUUCAGGCACCAGAUCAGAUUUAAUCUGAGGAAACCAUCGUUGUGAAGGAAACUGUUGUUAUUUGGUGAGACCUGCUGACCUGUUGUGCGAUAUGGAAGGUAUUUAGAAAAGGAGGCAGUCUUUUGCUUCACGUUCACAAGAGAAAAGGUGGCUUAAAGGGACAUUAUUCCAAUGAACUGUGGGACAGAAGGCAGCAAAUGGUGACAUAUCUGUGGAACUUCAAUGGAAAAUUAUGGCAUGGUGAGAAGCUGCGUGGGGUGGAAGAAAUGCCAGAUGGUCCAUCACUCACCGUGGAGCCACCUGGCUUAUCCAGCCAGAGCACGGGCUCUGUCACUCCAUAGCUGGUCAUUUCACGUUUCUCAUUCUAUGAGAGAAUGUUAAGUAAGAAAUAUUUAAAAUUAAAAUAUUUUGAUGUAACUCACAGAUAAAUAUGUACCUACAGUAAUUCUGGUAAGAAAAGAGAAACGUAAAGAGACA